GACGAACGCUGGCGGCGUGCCUAAUACAUGCAAGUUGAGCGCUGAAGGUUGGUACUUGUACCAACUGGAUGAGCAGCGAACGGGUGAGUAACGCGUGGGGAAUCUGCCUUUGAGCGGGGGACAACAUUUGGAAACGAAUGCUAAUACCGCAUAAAAACUUUAAACACAAGUUUUAAGUUUGAAAGAUGCAAUUGCAUCACUCAAAGAUGAUCCCGCGUUGUAUUAGCUAGUUGGUGAGGUAAAGGCUCACCAAGGCGAUGAUACAUAGCCGACCUGAGAGGGUGAUCGGCCACAUUGGGACUGAGACACGGCCCAAACUCCUACGGGAGGCAGCAGUAGGGAAUCGUCGGCAAGGGACGAAAGUCUGACCGAGCAACGCCGCGUGAGUGAAGAAGGUUUUCGGAUCGUAAAACUCUGUUGGUAGAGAAGAACGCUGGUGAGAGUGGAAAGCUCAUCAAGUGACGGUAACUACCCAGAAAGGGACGGCUAACUACGUG
rnacentral:rRNA from 1 species